CUACGGGUGGCUGCAGUGAGGAAUAUUGCACAAUGGGGGAAACCCUGAUGCAGCAACGCCGUGUGGAGGAUGACGCAUUUCGGUGUGUAAACUCCUUUUAUAUGUCAAGAAAAUGACGGUAGCAUAUGAAUAAGCACCGGCUAACUCCGUGCCAGCAGCCGCGGUAAUACGGAGGGUGCAAGCGUUACUCGGAAUAACUGGGCGUAAAGGACGCGUAGGCUGGUUGGUAAGUCAGGUGUGAAAUCCUACAGCUUAACUGUAGAACUGCACUUGAAACUACCAACCUAGAGUAUGGGAGGGGGAGAUGGAAUUAGUGGUGUAGGGGUAAUAUCCGUAGAUAUCACUAGGAAUACCGAAAGCGAAGGCGAUCUCCUGGAACAUAACUGACGCUAAGGCGUGAAAGCGUGGGGAGCAAACAGGAUUAGAUACCCUUGUAGUC
rnacentral:rRNA from 1 species